rnacentral:rRNA from 1 species
AGCCAGACUCCUACGGGAGGCAGCAGUGGGGAAUCUUCCGCAAUGGGCGAAAGCCUGACGGAGCAACGCCGCGUGAUCGAAUGAAGGCCUUCGGGUUGUAAAGAUCUGUUGACAGGGACGAAUAAGCAAUGCGAAUAGUUUUGUGUAUGACGGUACCUGUUUAGAAAGCUCCGGCUAACUACGUGCCAGCAGCCGCGGUAAUACGUAUGGUGCAAGCGUUAUCCGGAUUUACUGGGUGUAAAGGGAGCGCAGGCGGCACGGCAAGCCUGAUGUGAAAGCCCGCGGCCCAACCGCGGGACUGCAUUGGGAACUACCGGGCUGGAGUGCGGGAGGGGCAGGCGGAAUUCCUGGUGUAGCGGUGAAAUGCGUAGAUAUCAGGAGGAACACCGGCGGCGAAGGCGGCCUGCUGGACCGCGACUGACGUUGAGGCUCGAAAGCGUGGGGAGCGAACAGGAUUAGAUACCCCGGUAUCC